UACGUAGGGUCCGAGCGUUGUCCGGAAUUAUUGGGCGUAAAGAGCUCGUAGGCGGUUUGUUGCGUCGGCUGUGAAAUCCCGAGGCUCAACCUCGGGUCUGCAGUCGAUACGAGCAAACUAGAGUGUUGCAGGGGAGACUGGAAUUCCUGGUGUAGCGGUGAAAUGCGCAGAUAUCAGGAGGAACACCGGUGGCGAAGGCGGGGUCUCUGGGCAACAACUGACGCUGAGGAGCGAAAGCGUGGGGAGCGAACAGG
rnacentral:rRNA from 1 species